CCUGUGUAGAGGUCCAGUUCACUAUGUCAGUACCUGUGUAGAGGUCCAGUUCACUAUGUCAGUACCUGUGUAGAGGUCCAGUUCACUAUGUCAGUACCUGUGUAGAGGUCCAGUUCACUAUGUCAGUACCUGUGUAGAGGUCCAG